rnacentral:lncRNA from 1 species
CGACAGAAGUGCCGGGAGAGCUUGUGAUACUCCCCCCUGAGUUUCGACGACCUCUGGCCGAAGCGACAGAAGUGCCGGGAGAGCUUGUGAUAAUCCCCCCUGAGUUUCGACGACCUCUGGCCGAAGCGACAGAAGUGCCGCGUUACUCAAAUCAGGCUUACCCUGAGUUUCGACGACCUCUGGCCGAAGCGACAGAAGUGCCGGGAGAGCUUGUGAUACUCCCCCCUGAGUUUCGACGACCUCUGGCCGAAGCGACAGAAGCGCCGGGAGAGCUUGUGAUACUCCCCCCGAAGGUUGUGCUUUGGUGCUACACAACUUUUGUGAUGAGUGUUUUUCGAUUUAUGUGAUUGUCGGUAAACGACCAAUCACAAAUACUCGACACUCCAAGGUUGCCUUGAAACUCGGAACCUUUAAAGAUGGAGAGAGCUUGUGAUACUCCCUCCCAAAGUAUAAUGACUUCUGGCCGAAGCGACAGAAGUAUUGGGAGAGUUUGUGAUACUCUUCCCUUGAAUUUGACGACUUCUGGCCAAAGCGACAGAAGUGCCGGGAGAGUUUGUGAUACUCCCCCCUGAAGUGUGAUGACUUCUGGCCGAAGCGACAGAAGUGUUAGGAGAGUGUAAUAUUUUUGUAAUAUUUUUGGAACUUAUUUUAACCAAUUAUUUUGCUUUCUUAAUUAAUUGUUUAUUUAAUUUAUUUUUCGAAUUGUAACUAAGACCCGAAACUAGAUUCACAAGUCGUAAUUUAGCCACUCUGGACGUAAAUUAGACUCUGGUAACCCUAUUGCUAGCCACUCUGGGCGUAGGCUUGGUCG